rnacentral:rRNA from 1 species
GAUGAACGCUGGCGGCGUGCCUAAUACAUGCAAGUCGAGCGAACAGACGAGGAGCUUGCUCCUCUGACGUUAGCGGCGGACGGGUGAGUAACACGUGGAUAACCUACCUAUAAGACUGGGAUAACUUCGGGAAACCGGAGCUAAUACCGGAUAAUAUAUUGAACCGCAUGGUUCAAUAGUGAAAGACGGUUUUGCUGUCACUUAUAGAUGGAUCCGCGCCGCAUUAGCUAGUUGGUAAGGUAACGGCUUACCAAGGCAACGAUGCGUAGCCGACCUGAGAGGGGGAUCGGCCACACUGAAACUGAGACACGGUCCAGACUCCUACGGGAGGCAGCAGUAGGGAAUCUUCCGCAAUGGGCGAAAGCUUGACGGAGAAACGCCGCGUGAGUGAUGAAGGUCUUCGGAUCGUAAAACUCUGUUAUUGGGGAAGAACAAAUGUGUAAGUAACAAUGAACGUUUUGACGGUACCUAUCCAGAAAGCCACGGCUAAUUACGG